CCCUAUGGGAGGGGGAUAUCUCGGGAACUGAGAAUAAUGCCCGAUAGAACAUUAUGCCUGGAAUGGUUUAUGUUUCAAAUGAUUCAUCGCCAUAGGAUGGGACUGCGGCCUAUCAGUUUGUUGGUGAGGUAAUGGCCCACCAAGACUAUUACAGGUACGGGCUCUGAGAGGAGUGGCCCGGAGAUGGGUACUGAGACACGGACCCAGGCCCUAUGGGGCGCAGCAGGCGAGAAAACUUUGCAAUGUGCGAAAGCACGACAAGGUUAAUCCGAGUGGUUUCUGCUAAAGAAACCUUUUGCCAGUCCUAGAAACACUGGUGAAUAAGGGGUGGGCAAGUUCUGGUGUCAGCCGCCGCGGUAAAACCAGCACCUCAAGUGGUCAGGAUGAUUAUUGGGCCUAAAGCAUCCGUAGCUCGUUUUGUAAGUUUUCGGUUAAAUCCAUGCGCUUAACGUAUGGGCUGCCGGGAAUACUGCAUAACUAGGAAGUGGGAGAGGUAGACGGUACUCGGUAGGAAGGGGUAAAAUCCUUUGAUCUAUUGAUGACCACCUGUGGCGAAGGCGGUCUACCAGAACACGUUCGACGGUGAGGGAUGAAAGCUGGGGGAGCAAACCGGAUUAGAUACCCGGGUAGUCCCAGCUGUAAACUAUGCAAACUCAGUGAUGCAUUGGCUUGUGGCCAAUGCAGUGCUACAGGGAAGCCGUUAAGUUUGCCGCCUGGGAAGUACGUACGCAAGUAUGAAACUUAAAGGAAUUGGCGGGGGAGCAC
rnacentral:rRNA from 1 species